GUAUCUUUCAGCGUAAACAUUCCUUGAUGACUCCCCAGUACAUUCUAAAUGUUAAGAUGACAGUCCCUGGAAUUAGGUCUCCUCAGCGAAGGAUUUGCUACCAUCGCCCAAGGUUCUGGGCACGCUUACAUUGGAGCUGCAUUCCGCGGCCAUGUCAGAGGCUGACGACACGGGGGCUUAGAUUACAGUGAGCCCCAGGGACUCUUCCUGAGCCCGGAGGACACAGAACUAAGAGGUGUGCCUUUGAGUCACAGGAGGGAAGGGCUGUUGGAUGGAUCUGUGCAGUGGUUUAUGUUGUUGUAUCGGGUGACGGGUAGCCCCAGUUCUCAGGAGGGUCCCAACAGCCUGCUUUCUAAAGCUGGAGAUUAGGGCAACCACGGUGACCAGCACAGCGAUGCUCCGGCAGAGACGACAGGUCAGGCCUGGCAAAAUGUGGGGGUUAGGCUCUGUGCCUGGGGACCCAUCUGUCUGACACAAGUAUAAUAAGGCAAUUAAUGUACUUAUUUAUAUUGCUCAUACAAACCACAUAUUCCCCCAAAACGGUCAAUGUAAACCUUCUCCACGGUUCUCUAGAAAUGAGGGUUCCUAUAAAAAUACAAAGCAAGGUUCAAUAAUGAAACGGCUGCUUACAUACGUAAAGCUUUGAGGAGUGAUAGUAGUCUACUAUUUUUUGAAAAAACCGAAACUAUUAAAUACAACAUCUUGACAAAAGAGUGAUGAUAGGAAGGGCCUGUAAAAUCGACAUUUACGUUGCUAGUUCACGUGGGCAGCACUCGUGUUUAUUCAUUAGGAUGGAUUUCAUAACCUAAACAUAAAAUGAGGCCCAGAAAGAUGAUGAGAACGUGGAGAGGAAGAAAUGCCAGAGUGCGUGCCUUGUCUUUUCCCUGGAUGUUGUGUUUGCACCCCCGUCGUUAUUAGAGCUUUCGUUCGCACUCGGUGACGAAUCCCCACUCCUCUGUACAUUACUUUAUUACGUAUGUACUUCGCCUUCUCACCACUUCUGCUCUACAAUCUGUUGAAACCAGGGUAUGUUUGGGUUUACGCUUCAUCCGUGAUCCUUGUUUUUACAGAGCAAGUAAAUGAUCAUAAACGUUUAAAAGUCGUUUUACUGGUCGACAAUAAUCUAGCCCAGAAUGAUGAACAGUAUGAGACUUAGGACCGUCCGAAGUUUUAUGCGAAAGAACGAACCCCUCACCCAUAUUUGCUCUCAAUAAAGUGAAUGCUGUCAGUGACCAUGUUGCAUAUGUGAAGCUCACACCUUAUGGUAGCACCAGCAUCUGAAGAGAAACGACAUGCAAGUCCCUGGAGAGGAAGAAGGCAAGUUCUUUCCCUGCCCAGGAACUCGGGUCUGAGUGUCAUGGCCUGGCUGCUCCCUCUGUCGGCUCCAGGUGAAACUGCACAAGGACCGCCAUUGGAAGAGCAAAGGGAACCCUUUGACCUCGGAAAGAGCAAGAAAAUCAAGACGGCGCCGAGUGUUGCCAUGGAGCCACAGGAAUAACCCAUCAAACAGGAGAAGUACAUAUACAUGAAAAAUGUUGCUGGGCAUCCACUCCCUUCAAUUCAGCUGUUUAAUAAAAUUAUGGGAAUUCUAAUGAGUUUGAAAACUCCUUUGCUCUGGCUUGUACUAACAUGCACCGGGUCCUCCUCACAGACAUCAAGUGAUGGUCUCAUCAGCAUAAAAUAAUGUUGGAUUUCACGUGUUCUCCAGGCAUCACCCUUACUCCCAUCUCAGACCCUCGGUAUUUAUUUCUCCCAUAAUUGCUCUUUGUCUUGUGUAAUUGAUCAGCCACGCAUACAAUACAAGGUAAGUACUAUCAUUAUCCCCGUUUGCAGAUGAGAAUCCUCUGGUGCGGAGUAGUUAUAUAAUUCUUAAAAUGUGAACCCACCUUGUUUUAAUAAUUAGACUUCUACCCAUCUACCUACUUGUUCAAACAAGAAAUGCCAGCGUGUGGAAGAACUAAAGAGCAGAAGUGUGAAAAGGGAUGCUAUAAGGACUGUUGGUCGGCUGCACAUACAUGCCCACCGGAUAGACAGGGGAUGGGCCUCCUGGGGCGUACUUCUUGCCAGGCCUGCAUCAGUGCGCCAAUAAAAGGGAACGUUGGUGCAACAUCUACCGACAAGUGCUCCGAGUUAUGAACAAGGAACCUUCACUUAAUGUUUCCAUGCGAGUUCUCCAAGCCCUACAUGAGAUGCUCCUGUAUUUAAAUAAAAGACUGAUCACUGUUUUCAGCAAAUGGGAGAAAGGGUAGCUGUGAUACAAAGAGCUCGCAGACAACAAGUAAACGACCAACCUCCCGA